GUUGCAAGUUGUUCUUAUCACUACAAUCCUCCGCCACAACAACCUUAUGCAACUUCCGCUCAAAACAAUUAUUACAAGGAUUAUAUACCAGAAACUGUUGAAUAUACCCAGCUACCUGAAGCCUAUGGAUAUGCAAACAGUCCAGACGAUGUAAAAAGUGAGCCCCGUGAAAUGAGCUGUAUACAAGAACCUGGGGACUACAUCGACCUUCUUCCUCACAAUCUGAUGGGUUACACUGAUGUUGAAAAAUAUAAAUUAGGAA